UGGGGAAUCUUGCACAAUGGGGGAAACCCUGAUGCAGCGACGCCGCGUGAGCGAUGAAGGUUUUCGAAUCGUAAAGCUCUGUCCUAUGGGAAGAUAAUGACGGUACCAUGGGAGGAAGCCCCGGCUAACUACGUGCCAGCAGCCGCGGUAAUACGUAGGGGGCGAGCGUUGUCCGGAAUUACUGGGCGUAAAGGGUUCGCAGGCGGCAUGGCAAGUCCGAUGUAAAAGGCGAAGGCUCAACCUUCGUAAGCAUCGGAAACUGUCAAGCUUGAGUGAAGAAGAGGCCAGUGGAAUUCCUAGUGUAGCGGUGGAAUGCGUAGAUAUUAGGAGGAAUACCGGUGGCGAAGGCGACUUGCUGGACUUCAACUGACGCUGAGGAACGAAAGCGUGGGUAGCAAACAGG
rnacentral:rRNA from 1 species